rnacentral:rRNA from 1 species
UUCUGCGGCCAUGCCAUGCUGAACAAGCCCGAUGUCUGAUCUCGGAAGCAAAGCAGGGUCGGGCCUGAUUAGUACUUGGAUGGGAGACCACCUAAGAGGACCAGGUGCUGUGGGCC